AGAGAGAGAGAGAGAGACAGAGACAGAGAGGAGAGAAUGGAAGGCAGAUAAAAGAAGGCAGACUUUAGAGAAAGGCAAGACAAAAGAGAUAUGGAUAAAAAGAAGAAAAUAAGAUAAGAGGGAAAUGCCCAGUUAAUAAUUAUAACUAUGAAUAUGAAUGGAAUGAACCUUUCCAUAAAAUGGAGAGCAGAAUGAGUUAGAAAUCAGAGUCAAUAAAAUGUUAUUUACAAGAAACAUAUUUGAAAAAGAGAGCCGUGUACAGAGUUAAAAUAAGGAUCUGAAGUAAAAUUUAUUAUGCUUUGGUUGAAGUAAAAAGGCAGGAGGUAGCAAUCAUGGUUUCAGACAAAGCAACGCAAAAAAUAGGCCUUUAUUAAAAAGGAUAAACAGGAAACAGGGAAAUCACAUCUUCCUAAAAGGAACCAUAGACAAUGAAGUAGUAUCAAUACAAAACAUAUAUGCAUCAAAUGAUAGUGUCCAAAUUCUUAAAGGAAAAGUUAAAUGAAUUACAGGAGGGAAAUAGACAAUAAAACCAUACUAAUGAAGAACCUCAACUUUUCUCUCUCAAAGCUAGAUAAAUCUUUCUGUAAAAUAAAUAAGAAAGAAGUCAGACCUCUGAAGAAAACCGAAUGGGAAGAGGAAAGAAUAUAUCUUUUUGGUAACUAUACUUGGUAACUUUGCAAAAACUGACCAUAUAUUGAAGCAUAAAAACCUUAUAAUCAAAUGAAGAAAAGCAAAAAUAUUAAAUGCAUAUUUUAGAUCAUAAUACAAUAAAAAUUACAUGAAAAUAAGGAGCCAUGGAAACAUAGAUUAAAAAUUGAUUGGAAACUAAAUAAUCUAAUCCUAAAGAAUGACUCAGUAAAAGAACAAAUCAUAGAAAGAAUAAAUAAUUUCAUUAAAGAGAAUGACAACAAUGAAACAACAUAAUAAAAUUGUGAGAUUAAGCCAAAGCAGUAUUUAGGGAGAAAUUUAUAUCUUUAAAUGCCUACAUCAAGAAAAGAGAGAAAGAGUAGAUCAAUGAAUUGGAUAGAAAAAUAAACUAUUAAAGAUCCUGAAAGUAAAGAGAUUAGUAAUACUGAGAUUUAAAAAAAAAAAGACAUUGAACUAAUAAAUAAAACUAAAAACUGGUUUUAUGAAAAACCCAGUAAAAUAGGUAAACCAUUGGUUAUUUUAAUUUUGAAAAAGAAAGAAGAAAGCCAAAUUACAAUGCUAGUGUUUAAGAGUAAAGGGGUGAAUACAUCAUCAAUAAAGAUAAAAUUAAAGCGAUAAUUAGGAGCUAUUUUGUCCAAUUAUAUGUCAACAAAAUUGACAAUCUAAGAAAAAUGGACAAGUAUUACAAAAAUAUAAACUACGUAGAUUAACAGAAGGGGAAAUUAAAUGCUUAAACAAGCCUUUCUUAGAAAAAUAAAUGGAACAAGUUUUCAAUUCAGAAUCAGAGUAAUUCACUGGUGAAUUCUACCAAACAUUUAAGAAAAAGUAAUCCCAAUACUAUAUGAACUAUUUGAAAAAGUAGGUAAAAAAAGGAAUUCUAACAAAUUAUUUAAAUGACACAAACAUGGUUUUGAUACCUAAACGAGGGAAAGGAAAAACAGAGAAAGAAAGCUAUAGACUAAUUACCUUAAUUUAAAUAAAAAAACUAGCAAGGAGACUACAGAGCUAUAUCACAAAGAUCAUACAAAGAUUUUAUAUUAGGUUUUAUAUUAGGAAUUCAAAGUUGAUUCAAUAUUAGGAAAACUAUCAGCAUAAUUGACCAUGUCAAUAGAAAACUGUAUAAUUAUGUCAGCAGAUGCAAUUUUAAGAAGCCUUUAAACAAAAUACAACACCCAUUCCCAUUAAAAACACUAGAUAGGGGAGUAGCUAGGUGGAAAAGUUAGCCCUAAUCAGGAGAACCUGAAUUCAAAUCUGGCAUUAGACACUUAACACCUCCUGGCGGUGUGACCCUGGGCAAGUCACUUAACCCCAAUUCCCUCGGCAAAAACAAACAAAACAAAACAAAAAAACAAAAAACAACCCAAAACACUAGAUAGCAUAGGAAUAUCUGGAGCCUUUGUUAAAAUGAUUUCUUUGUUAAAAUAUGUCAAGUCAUAUUUAUCUAAAAUCAAGGACAAACAUUCUCUACAAUGGAGAUAAAAAUAAAGUCUUACCAAUAAGAUCAGGAGUAAAAUAGGGAUGUACAUUAUCACCACUUUUAUUCAAAUAUGUGCUAGAAAUGUUAGCUGUAGCAAUGAAACAAAAAAAAAAUUGAAAUAAGAAUUUCAGGCAAGGAGGAAGUAAAACUAUCACUCUUUGCAGAUAUAUGAUGAUAUACUUAGAGAAUCCUAGAGAAUCAAUUAAAAACUACUUGAAACAAUAACUUCAACAAAAUUGCAGGAUAUAAAAUAAACUCACAAAAAUCUUCAGCAUCUGAGUGGGUCUGAAACCAGUCCUUAGAUCUCAGAAUCUGUACUAUCACCAGCUGUUGCAAAAAGCUUUAUUUGGAAGAUCUAACCAAUUUUUCUUUUUCCUGUAUUGCCAGCUACUGCCCAAGAGAUGUAAACCCCUCAGAGCCCAAUUAAAGAAGCCAAACUGGAAAAGCUCUAAACAUUCCAUGCUUAGUGAAGUUAUUGAUGCAGAAAUAGCAUAAAGUCAAGUUAGAGGCCAGUCAAGGGACAAAUCAGGAAAAGAUCUGCAAUUCACAAGUUUAGGAUUUUUCUUUUGGCUAAAAGAAUUUAAUACCUUCUCAGCUCUUCAGAAAAGGAGGGAUGUGAAUCUGUUAGCAGAAGAGUGCUGAUUCUAUCCCAGGGCUUCAUCAGUGAUAGAUGGCUCCAACAAAGAGGAUUGACUACAGACAAGAAUCACUCCCUCAAUAGAUCUGAUUGUGCCCAUUGGUACCCAUUCUAUUCUUCUGUCUCUAUGUGUCCCUCUCUGUCUGUCUGUCUCCCUCUGUCUGUCUCUUUCUCACUCUCUCCCACUCCCUUUUUGUCUUUGUAUCUGUCUAUCUCUCUGUAGAUGUCUCUCUCAGACUUCCUGUGGGAAAGGUGAAGGAAUUUUUUAUUUCAUUCUUGCAGAAAUGGUGGAAGUUUAUACAUAGUUGCAAGAAUGAAUAUUUUCCUAAGUGAGCCUUGUUCAGGAUCUCCUGGUCCUGGCUGCUUUUUCUGCUUCAUAUUGUGUGAAUCUUGCAAGAAGCGAACAUCUUUCCACUGGAGUUCUACCAGUGGAAAGAGGUUAAUUUCCACAGAGAUUGAAGUUACUUAUACAGUCGUGACCACAAUCAUCCAUGACAUCCCUCCUUCCCCUUAUUCUGUUGAUUCUCACUAUCUCAGUUAAUGCUUAGAAGUAAUAUGAACUUAUUAAAUUUUGACCUGAAUUUUAUGAUGGUCAGUUUCACAAGUUUUACAACUGUUUGCAGGUAUGUUUUAUGGCGGUCAGUUUUGCAACUCCUUACAACUGUUUAUCCUACUUCAUUUUCCCAAAUGUAAUGACCAUGUAUUUAAAAUCAGCUGGAGUCAGGAACUCAGGUUAAGGGGAAAAUCUUCAGUCUUUAUUGAAGUGAAGAGGUGAAAAAAGAUUGCAAUAGCAAUAUGGGCAAGAAGGAUUGCGAUAGCAAUAUGGGCAGCUGCGACAGGAAGCCAGCUAGCAGAGCGAGAGAGAUCUGACCUCUCCUCCCCUUCCUUUUCCACUCCCCUGCCUCCACCCACCAGAAUCAUAAUUUCCUAUACAACACAUCAGGACUUGCACAAAGAGUGGGCGGGGGCCAUUCUUUCUCCAAGCUUAUAUAUUAAUAGAGUAUGGUCCAAUUACUAUUUAGCCUCAUGUGCUUGGGACCUCAGUGCAUCAACUCAAGUCUCAGCCCAUUACACCCAAAUUCCCCAGAUAAAUUGAAUCUAAGUUAUAAAUUUAAUCUCCUUAGUUAAUGAUUUUAUAGGAAACCUUAUAAUUCCCCACAAAAAGGAGAUUUGUUUAGAGGUAAGUAAUCUAUUAAGAUAGAAUAACCAAGGAGACUUAAUUUACCUCAGGCUUUCUCAACAAAUAGAGAUUACCCAGUUUAUAGACUUCUUAGAAUAUCUCCAGGCCAUUAAAUAGUUAGAUUCUUCUCUACGCAGUUAAGUAAAGGUCCAGGAAAUAAGAUAUUUCUACUAAAAGAGCAAGCCUUUUGUUUUCUUUCCCAGAGCCUUAAUGAUUAAGAGACCUUUGCAAGUGGGUCUGGAAUUAUCAAGUGAGAAGUCCUCAGUUUCCCAUUACACUUAAUAUUAAAUUGCCUGACUAUAGGUUACUAAACUGUGAUCUUGAGAUGUAUAUUUCUAGCUUUGAAGACAACGUUUUCAGUUUAAGAAGUUAAGAACUCCCUUAGUUGGUGUUGGCUGUAUUAUGGGAAAUGUCCAUACAACUAUAAUUACAUAUAUUAGCAGAAAAAAUGACCUCUUACAGAACAAUGAGCUCAAACCCUAAUCAUUGUUUUCAGAAAAACAUGGAUUCUUGAAAAAGUAUUGCACUAAGAAGAUUAAAAGCCUAUAUGCAACAAUUUCACGGAAUGCUUUCUGUUUUUAAAUAUAUAUACAUUUGUAUUGAUUUAUUUUCUUGACAUAUUUUCUACUGUACUCUUGUCUCUACCCUUCUCAGAGAGCCAUUUUUCUUAAUAAACACUUUUUUAAAAAGAAGAAAAAAUAAGAAGAAAUUCUAUACAAAUAAUUAGCAUGUCCCAAACUGUGCUCCACACCCAAUGUCCUCACAUCUUCAAUUAAAUGGUGAGGAGAAGGUUUUUAUUAUAUUUUGUCUUUGGAGAAAUCUUGGUCAUUAAAAUUUUCAGCAUUUAA